rnacentral:rRNA from 1 species
UGUAUCUAUUGUACCACCUUUUAGCCCAAGACUGGUUGCCCACUGAAGCUAAGCAGGGUUGAGCCUGGUCAGUACCUGGAUGGGAGACCUCCUGGGAAAACUAGGUUGCUGCUGGAA